rnacentral:rRNA from 1 species
ACGGGAGGCAGCAGUGGGGAAUAUUGGGCAAUGGGCGCAAGCCUGACCCAGCAACGCCGCGUGAAGGAUGAAGGUCUUCGGAUUGUAAACUUCUUUGAUCAGGGACGAAUUUUGACGGUACCUGAAGAACAAGUCACGGCUAACUACGUGCCAGCAGCCGCGGUAAUACGUAGGUGGCAAGCGUUAUCCGGAUUUACUGGGUGUAAAGGGCGCGUAGGCGGGGAGACAAGUCAGGUGUGAAAUCUAUGGGCUUAACCCAUAAACUGCAUUUGAAACUGUAUCUCUUGAGUGCUGGAGAGGUAGAUGGAAUUCCUUGUGUAGCGGUGAAAUGCGUAGAUAUAAGGAAGAACACCAGUGGCGAAGGCGAUCUACUGGACAGUAACUGACGCUGAGGCGCGAAAGCGUGGGGAGCAAACAGGAUUAGAUACCCUGGUA